rnacentral:rRNA from 1 species
AUUGAACGCUGGCGGCAGGCUUAACACAUGCAAGUCGAGCGGUAACAGAGAGAAGCUUGCUUCUCUGCUGACGAGCGGCGGACGGGUGAGUAAUGCCUAGGAAUCUGCCUAGUAGUGGGGGAUAACUUGCCGAAAGGUAAGCUAAUACCGCAUACGUCCUACGGGAGAAAGGAGGGGACCUUCGGGCCUUUCGCUAUUAGAUGAGCCUAGGUCGGAUUAGUUAGUUGGUGAGGUAAUGGCUCACCAAGACCGCGAUCCGUAACUGGUCUGAGAGGAUGAUCAGUCACACGGGAACUGAGACACGGUCCAGACUCCUACGGGAGGCAGCAGUGGGGAAUAUUGGAUAAUGGGGGGAACCCUGAUCCAGCCAUGCCGCGUGUGUGAAGAAGGUCUUAGGAUUGUAAAGCACUUUAAGUUGGGAGGAAGAGCAGUUAACUAAUAUUUGACUGUUUUGACGUUACCGACAGAAUAAGCACCGGCUAACUUCGUGCCAGCCGCCGCAGUAA